GAGCGGACAGAAGGAAGCUUGCUCCCGGAUGUUAGCGGCGGACGGGUGAGUAACACGUGGGUAACCUGCCUGUAAGACUGGGAUAACUCCGGGAAACCGGAGCUAAUACCGGAUAGUUCCUUGAACCGCAUGGUUCAAGGAUGAAAGACGGUUUCGGCUGUCACUUACAGAUGGACCCGCGGCGCAUUAGCUAGUUGGUGGGGUAAUGGCUCACCAAGGCAACGAUGCGUAGCCGACCUGAGAGGGUGAUCGGCCACACUGGGACUGAGACACGGCCCAGACUCCUACGGGAGGCAGCAGUAGGGAAUCUUCCGCAAUGGACGAAAGUCUGACGGAGCAACGCCGCGUGAGUGAUGAAGGUUUUCGGAUCGUAAAGCUCUGUUGUUAGGGAAGAACAAGUGCGAGAGUAACUGCUCGCACCUUGACGGUACCUAACCAGAAAGCCACGGCUAACUACGUGCCAGCAGCCGCGGUAAUACGUAGGUGGCAAGCGUUGUCCGGAAUUAUUGGGCGUAAAGGGCUCGCAGGCGGUUUCUUAAGUCUGAUGUGAAAGCCCCCGGCUCAACCGGGGAGGGUCAUUGGAAACUGGGAAACUUGAGUGCAGAAGAGGAGAGUGGAAUUCCACGUGUAGCGGUGAAAUGCGCAGAUAUCUGGAGGAACACC
rnacentral:rRNA from 1 species